rnacentral:lncRNA from 1 species
GGUCAUGAGGCAAAAAUUUGCCACUUCCUCUUCCUCAUCUGAGCUUGAUGUGUCACUAUCUCUCUAAAUUCCUAGCAUUACUCUUUUUCGUGGUCCUUUUGGGGUUUUGCUUGAGUAAGAGGCAAUCCAGCUUGUAGUGUCCACGAUUGUUGCACUUGUAGUAUAUGACAUUUCUUUCUUCUUUUUCUUCAUCCUCUUUCUUUUUCUUCAAACCUUUGUUCAUG